rnacentral:piRNA from 1 species
CUUUUUCCUACCAUGUGUGC